AGAGUUUGAUCAUGGCUCAGGACGAACGCUGGCGGCAUGCCUAAUACAUGCAAGUCGAACGCUUUGAUUUCACCGGGUGCUUGCACCCACCGAAGUCAAGGAGUGGCGGACGGGUGAGUAACACGUGGGUAACCUGCCCAUAAGAGGGGGAUAACAUUCGGAAACGGAUGCUAAUACCGCAUAUUUCUAAACGUCACAUGACGAAUAGAAGAAAGGUGGCUUCGGCUACCGCUUAUGGAUGGACCCGCGGCGUAUUAGCUAGUUGGUGAGGUAAUGGCUCACCAAGGCGAUGAUACGUAGCCGACCUGAGAGGGUGAUCGGCCACACUGGGACUGAGACACGGCCCAGACUCCUACGGGAGGCAGCAGUAGGGAAUCUUCCGCAAUGGACGAAAGUCUGACGGAGCAAUGCCGCGUGAGUGAAGAAGGUUUUCGGAUCGUAAAACUCUGUUGUUAGAGAAGAACAAGGAUGAGAGUAACUGCUCAUCCCCUGACGGUAUCUAACCAGAAAGCCACGGCUAACUACGUGCCAGCAGCCGCGGUAAUACGUA
rnacentral:rRNA from 1 species